AAUCCCUAAUUAACACUCAAGCGGAAAGCGUAGUCACUAGUCAACCUAAAAAAAUUCAGAAGCAUCUGUAUAAAAAAAACAGCAUGGUGACAAUCGAAUCUUGUACGAAAUCGUUCGUGCUUCCAUUAUCGAGAGCAUAGUAAUUACAAACAAGAACAGGUAGGUCUACACUACUCUACAGGCAAUUGCUAUUGAAUUUAAUGGUUUUGACAAUGAUAUUUUUGAAUCUAUUAGAUGAAAAAUCAGCAAAAGAUUUUUAAAGUCAAAUAUAGAAAUCAAAAGCAAGACAGAAACGAUUCCAAACAUUGUUAAUAAGAUAUGCACCUUGACGGUAAGAAAUUGAAUCCAUCCAGGAAUGCAAGUCUACAACCAAAAUACACAAGAGAGUCUGCAAUCGAGAUAUGACAUAAAAAAAAAAAUCAGUUAAGACAAUAACUAAGAAUAUGAACAUGUAAAAGAGUUAAUAUUAACACCAUUGUGUUCCAUGACCAUCUAAACUAAGAGAGAUCAUGAAUAUGCUGAUUCAUUGAGUAUAUGUGACACACACACUGACGCUGGGACGCACACCAAUUUGAUCCCGCCUGAAGGCUGAAGAUGGUAGUUAAUAGUUUGGGGGCAGUGGCGUAUCCAGUUUUUGAAGGACCCAUCAACUGUUUGGGGGUAUGUUAUUGAUCUUGGACUCCUUGUGUACUAGAAACAACUUAUAUAGAAAGCAACGGAGGGAGAAAUCGUGAGGUGGAUGGGUCAUGCGAGUUGGGAGGAGGAGAGAUUGGGGAAGAAAUUGAAGGAGGAGGAGGAGAAAUCGAUAGUUUUGGGGAAG
rnacentral:lncRNA from 1 species